rnacentral:lncRNA from 1 species
UUUGAAUCCCCACCCUGCGGACCCCGCGCGCCUCGCCUUCUCCCUCUGGUUGGCGAGCGCCUUUCUGCGCCUUCAGGCAUUUUUGCUGAGGCUUUUGUCUGCGCAUGUGCGGCGUUCCUUCACCGGGAUCUUCAUUGUCCCAUGUUGGGCGCCAGGAAUGCUGGGGUGAUCAGACCCAGCACCAGGCCAUGGGGGCUACAAAGUCUGGCAGAGUCAAAGGAAUGAGAAAAGACAAGUUAAAAGUGCAUAAGCAGUGAGAUCUCAGCCAGGCCAGAAAAAGCUGCCAUGCCAAAAGCGGCCGACACUAACUCCACGCGGUGCUCCUGGAAACGUCGGGCUCCCAGCUCCCAUGAGGCAGAAAACGGGCAUCUAUUCUUUUAACAUACCAAAUAUUUGAGCACUUACCACGCGUCGGGCACUGAUUUACAGCACAGAGUGAAACUAAGUCCCUGCCCUUGCCUUGCUGAGCUUGCAUUCCAUCUUGGAAGGAGGAACAGACAAUAAUUAGCAAAAGUACAAUGACUGGUAAGUGACAAAUGCCAUCAAGAAAUUUGAGCACCUUUAGAAGGCAGCGAAAGGGAGGGUGGGAUGACUGUUUAAUAGGUCAUCCAGGGAAUUUCAAGACCGGCCUGGCCAACAUAGCGAAACCCUGUCUCUACCACAAAUACAAAAAUUAGCCGGGCGUGGUG